rnacentral:rRNA from 1 species
AGUCAUAUGCUUGUCUCAAAGAUUAAGCCAUGCAUGUCUAAGUAUAAGCACUCAUACUGUGAAACUGCGAAUGGCUCAUUAAAUCAGUUAUCGUUUAUUUGAUAGUACCUUUACCUGGAUAACCGUGGUAAUUCUAGAGCUAAUACAUGCUUAAAACCCCGACUUCGGGAGGGGUGUAUUUAUUAGAUAAAAAACCAAUGCCCUCUGGGCUCCUUGGUGAUUCAUAAUAACUUAACGAAUCGCAUGGCCUUGCGCCGGCGAUGGUUCAUUCAAAUUUCUGCCCUAUCAACUUUCGAUUGUAGGAUAGAGGCCUACAAUGGUCUUAACGGGUAACGGGGAAUUAGGGUUCGACUCCGGAGAGGGAGCCUGAGAAACGGCUACCACAUCCAAGGAAGGCAGCAGGCGCGCAAAUUACCCAAUGCUAAUUCAGCGAGGUAGUGACAAUAAAUACUGAUACGGGGCUCUUUCGGGUCUCGUAAUUGGAAUGAGUACAAUCUAAAUCCCUUAACGAGGAACAAUUGGAGGGCAAGUCUGGUGGACGUUCUUCAGUUCUCCCAAACUGCUGACGCCAGACAGAGUGGGUCUUUUUGUGUGUCAAAAGACCUGCUAGUCGAGUAUCCAUUCGCGUGAUAGGUGGAUGCCGGCAAGACAACCUGGAUCGGGGAAGGCUAAGGGACCCCGUUGGGUCCUACGCUGAUCCCGAGCAGAGCACCGCGUGGGUGCCUGUGUAGAGCGCGCGAAGGUGUCGGCCGUCCCCCUAAAAGGACGGCUUGAGGUACGUGCCAUUCCCGCCUGAAAGGGCGCCGGUGACCAGAGCACCUAUCAUGCAAAGGUCACUGGGGAUCAACCUACUUAUAGGUGUCCGGUGCAAUCAAGGCCAGCAGCCGCGGUAAUUCCAGCUCCAAUAGCGUAUAUUAAAGUUGUUGCCGUUAAAAAGCUCGUAGUUGAACCUUGGACCUGGCUGAUCUGUCCUCCUAAUCGAGCGCACGGAUUCGGUCGGGUCUUUCCUUCUGGGGAGCCCCAUGCCCUUCACUGGGUGUGGUGGGGAACCAGGACUUUUACCUUGAAAAAAUUAGAGUGUUCAAAGCAGGCCUUUGCUCGAAUACAUUAGCAUGGAAUAAUAGAAUAGGACAUCGGUUCUAUUUUGUUGGUUUCUAGGACCGCUGUAAUGAUUAAUAGGGAUAGUCGGGGGCGUCAGUAUUCAAUUGUCAGAGGUGAAAUUCUUGGAUUUAUUGAAGACUAACUACUGCGAAAGCAUUCGCCAAGGAUGUUUUCAUUAAUCAGUGAACGAAAGUUAGGGGAUCGAAGACGAUCAGAUACCGUCGUAGUCUUAACCAUAAACUAUGCCGACUAGGGAUCGGACGGUGGUUUUUUUAUGCCCCGUUCGGCACCUUACGAGAAAUCAAAGUUUUUGGGCUCGGGGGGGAGUAUGGUCGCAAGGCUGAAACUUAAAGAAAUUGACGGAAGGGCACCACCAGGCGUAAACCUCACUUGGUUUUCAUCAAGCCGUAGUUAACUCUGCGCCGAACAGCAGCCCGAUAAGGGUGAAGUGGUUGCGUCCUUAAAUGCUAGUCCCGCGACGGUCUCGUGGCGGGGCGACACCCUCAAAUUGCGGGAAGUUCCUAAAGCCUAAACUACCAAGUGGCAGCCGAAACGCUGUCAUGGCCAGGGUAAUGACCUCGGGUACGGUAACAACGUUUAGGAUACGACAAUGGAUGAUCCGCAGCCAAACGCCCUACCUCUCCCAUUCUUUUUUAAGAUUGGGAUGGGCGGAGGUUCAGAGACUAGAUGGGGGUGGGUCAAGAUUGGCAUCCGGUCUUGGCCUAAGAUAUAGUCCAAUCCCUAAGGGAAACUUUAGGGUUCCAGGCUUUAAAUUAAUGGGAGCCUGCGGCUUAAUUUGACUCAACACGGGGAAACUCACCAGGUCCAGACAUGCUUAGGAUUGACAGAUUGAUAGCUCUUUCUUGAUUGUAUGGGUGGUGGUGCAUGGCCGUUCUUAGUUGGUGGAGUGAUUUGUCUGCUUAAUUGCGAUAACGAACGAGACCUUGACCUGCUAAAUAGCCAGGUUGACUUUUGUCGGCCGCCGGCUUCUUAGAGGGACUUUUGGCUCAAGCCAAUGGAAGUACGAGGCAAUAACAGGUCUGUGAUGCCCUUAGAUGUUCUGGGCUGCACGCGCGCUACACUGACAGAGCCAGCGAGUACAUCACCUUGGCCGAAAGGUCUGGGUAAUCUUGUUAAACUCUGUCGUGCUGGGGAUAGAGCAUUGCAAUUAUUGCUCUUCAACGAGGAAUGCCUAGUAAGCGCAAGUCAUCAGCUUGCGUUGAUUACGUCCCUGCCCUUUGUACACACCGCCCGUCGCUACUACCGAUUGAAUGGCUCAGUGAGGCCUUGGGACUGGCUCAGAGAGGUCGGCAACGACCACUCAGAGCCGGAAACUUGGUCAAACUUGGUCAUUUAGAGGAAGUAAAAGUCGUAACAAGGUUUCCGUGCCUGAGACCCUCACGGGUCUCAGCCGGGACGCUGAGAAGUGAUCCUUCCAAAGGUGACGCUUCGGAAGCCUUAGCAGCCUGAAAAGGUGGCCCUUCACGACUUGAUAAAUAAAGAGAGGUGCCUGAAAUGCUAGUCAGCCUUCGCCGCUGGCAACACCGUCAAAUUGCGGGAACCCCCUAAAGACUUCGCUACCAAGCAGCACUGGGACAACUGGGCUGUGGCCAGGUUAACGACCUCGGGUACGGUAACAAUGCGAAUGUAUGAACCUCUGGUCCUCGGAGGGGAAAUGGGCAAUCUGCAGCCAAGUCCUGACCACCCCCGUAACGGGGGGUGUUGGAUGCUGUUCACAGGCCAAAUGGUGGUGGGUCGAUCCCUAGCGAUCGGCUUAAGAUAUGGUCGGGCCCCUCGGGAAACCGUGGGGGUAGUCACCCGGCAGUCAACUGGAGGCGGAGAGCGAUACAGUGUAAGUUCUCCGUCAUGGGCGACUGUGGUUGUGAGGAAUUGUAUAUCCUAGCAACGACAUUUUUCAAACCGUUCC